AGCUUUGUGCAGUGGUAGUAUCAUAGCCAAUGAGGUUAAUUGGAGGCAUGAUUAUUGCUAAUUGAAAACUUUUCUCCCAUUAGUCAGUGGUAGCUGAGCCACUGAUUUCAACGAGGACAAGAUUGC
rnacentral:snRNA from 1 species